GCGGUGGUAGUAUAGUGGUUAGUAUGGGGCGUUGCCAACGCUCCGACCCGGGUUCAAACCCCGGCCACCGCA
rnacentral:tRNA from 1 species